ACUGGGCCCUAGUGGAAAAGGGGGUGAGAAAAUGAAACGGAGGGCUGCAAGGAGGUAAAAGGUUUUUUCUUUCAUAAAACCGAGUGGGCUCAAAGAGAAGUGCGGCUUAGUAAAGACAGGGGUGCGGAAAAAGGUUUUUAUGUUUUAUUUUGGUUUUUUAAAAAGAAAAAAAAAAGGUGAAAGGAAAUAGAUCUGGCCCAAUGAUUCUCAGCGGGUUCUCUCCUUCCUAUCUCGUUCUGCCAUUUCACUCAAAUGAGACUCAAGUCUCUUCCCUGAGAAACCCCCAGAGGACUCACUUCCGCCACUCACGCACACUGCCGCCAUCGUCGAAGCCGACGACCACAAGCCGUGUGCCAAGGCCGCUCCGGUGACGCUGCUCGCCGGCGGAGUCGUCGCCAGCCACCAGGUUUUCUCCCUUCCCUCCUCGCCCGAGAGAGAAGCACCGUGCUCCUUCACGGCUCGUCUUCGCCGCUUCAACAAGGCCGGUCGCCUCCGCCGUCCACGUCGGAGGAAUCCGCGUCGUGUACGGCAGUUCAGCCUCUACUUUCUCUCUCUUAAACCCAGGAGACCCUUGAUCCUACCGCGACCAACAGAGGGGCUGCCGCCACUCCCCUCUCCGACUCUCACAGCCCUACGGAUUCGGUUCCUUCGUUGAUGAGGUGAACAGAGGCAUGAAGGCUUAGCUUCAUUAUCUGGUUUGGCUAUUGGGGUUUUUGGUGGUUGAUGGGUGAACAUGGGCUGUCGGCGUUGACAGGGAAUGGAGGAAACAGAAGAGCUGAGGCAAAUUUGGUUUUCGGUUUGUUGAGAUGAUGUUGUAUCUGCAGAGAACGGGCUACUGGAAUUUGGGCUACGAUGCAGAAUAUCGAUUUGUAGGUUUGGGUUUGUGAUCAAAGGUGUGAAGAUUCCGGACUUGCACCGUUUCUUCCUUGCAGGUUUAGACAGGAUGAUGGAGUGGGACUAUGCGGUAGCGAUCAGGAAAUGCGGCCCGACGGCUAUCAAUGAUUCAAAGCGAGACUGGGAUUGGGGGAAAUGGUUGAUGAUUAUGCCAAAAGGAUGAAUGGUGGUGGUUUGCUCGAGAAGACAAAUUUUGAAUAAAAUGGCAUGGGAUUUGUAAUCUGAUUCCAGCUUGUUUGUUUGUUUAACACAGGUGGAAGGCUUCUCGAGAUUGAGGGUGGCUACAUCAGAUGCUACUACCCAGAUACCUACGGCUUGCAAGGAGAAAAGACCACUUCUGUUUUAUGUUUUCUUUUGUUUUGUAUGAGAACUGAUAUGAAAGGAGAAUACAUCUGAUUCUGCCUAUGUUUUCUUCUUACAAUUUUCUGGAAUGUUUUCUGGGUGUAAGUAAAGAGGGUGUUGGAGUCUUGAUGUUGGGGAUAUAUACCUAUGUUCCAUUGUUAUUUAUAUGUGAUGAAUCUCACAGGCAUUGAAAAUGCAGUUUGAUAAAAAGAUGAAACCACAACCAAGACAACCACCAUUAUAAAUAGUGAUCAAACAUCAUUCGUUUAUCUCCAUGCAUGCAUAAGGAAAGCAUACAUCCAAAGAGCUUAGACUGGAUUUUCUUCGGAUUGCUCAAACCCUCGCAGGCGCUGGAGAUAUAGGUUGAAGGCAAAUGGUUCACGGAUGACAAAGAAGCUCUCAAGUGGUGAUGAUCGGUGAUGGUGGUGAGUCUCCAAUGCUCAAGCUCCGUUGGUGAGGUGCUGGAAGUGAAUCAUCUGGUGAAGGUCCUCUCUCAGGCGUGGUAAUAUCCGACCUCCUCCAUAUCACUCUCCCAGCUGGCUUUGAGGACCAACCUUUAGCAUCUUGUUACAGGGGAACAGCCUUCUAUAUUAAAGCAUGCAAUGAGCUAUUACGUUGUACAAUUGUUAUUAAAACAUCACUUAUUUCGAAACCGGAGUGUUAAUUAUUUCGUAUUUCUUGUUUCACUGUACAAUUGUUAUCAAGUGUACAAAUUAACGACAACAUAUACACAAAUUGUGAACAUUUUUUUAUUUAAAACUCGUUAAUUAUUGUUAGAUGUUGAUGA